rnacentral:piRNA from 1 species
AACAGAUGUAGGUUUUGAUCACAGA